rnacentral:rRNA from 1 species
UCAGAGAGAAAUAACACCCUGGCAAUGCCUAAUUUCAGCUGAUCUCAAAAGCUAAGCGGGCUCAGGCCUGGUUAGUACUUUGAUGGGAGACCUCCUGGCAAUACCAGGUGCUGUAGGAU